GAUGAACGCUGGCGGCAUGCCUAACACAUGCAAGUCGAUCGGUAAGGCUCUUCGGAGUACACGAGAGGCGGACGGCUGAGUAACGCGUAGGAACACACCCUGCAGUGAGGGAUAAGACACCGAAAGGUGUUCUAAUACCGCAUACGGUCUUCGGAUUAAAGCAUUUAUGCGCUGAAGGAGUGGCCUGCAUCAUAUUAGAUAGUUGGUGAGGUAAUGGCUCACCAAGUCGAUGAUGUGUAGCUGGUCUGAGAGGAUGAUCAGCCAGACUGGAACUGAGACACGGUCCAGACUCCUACGGGAGGCAGCAGUGAGGAAUAUUUCACAAUGAGCGAAAGCUUGAUGGAGCAAUGCCGCGUGCAGGAUGAAGGCCCUCGGGUUGUAAACUGCUUUUAUAAGAGAAGAUUAUGACGGUAACUUAUGAAUAAGGGACGGCUAACUACGUG
rnacentral:rRNA from 1 species